rnacentral:lncRNA from 1 species
UUGAGACUAUUGCAUUGAGUAUGUACUAAUAUAUUAGUCAGAUGAUAAAUACUCAUUCAUUAUGUUAAUAAAUAACAGCAUUUAGCUUAAUUAAGAUAAAAUAGAAGUUAUUAAUUUUCGUAAUUUUAAUCAGGAGACUAUAGUUCGGCCGUUCAGAGAAUGCGUUCCUGACACCUAUCAGUUAGUCACGACUAGUGAUGGGCACAACAUAACACUGAGUUCGUUACCGUUCCUCCAAAAUGAACCGCCGAAUUAUUUUAAGAUUAUUUUUGUUUUAAAUUGGCGGAAUCAUUUAAAAUUUAUAUUAUAGUUAUUUAAAUGGAAACCAAAAAAAGUUACAAUCUGUAUUUCUAUGCAAUAAAGUAAGUACAUUGAA